rnacentral:rRNA from 1 species
UACGGAGGGUGCAAGCGUUAUCCGGAUUCACUGGGUUUAAAGGGUGCGUAGGUGGGUUGGUAAGUCAGUGGUGAAAUCCCCGAGCUUAACUUGGGAACUGCCAUUGAUACUAUCAGUCUUGAAUACCGUGGAGGUCGGCGGAAUAUGUCAUGUAGCGGUGAAAUGCUUAGAUAUGACAUAGAACACCAAUUGCGAAGGCAGCUGGCUACGCGGAUAUUGACACUGAGGCACGAAAGCGUGGGGAUCAAAC